CCUACGGGGGGCAGCAGUGAGGAAUAUUGCACAAUGGGGGAAACCCUGAUGCAGCGACGCCGCGUGAGCGAUGAAGUAUUUCGGUAUGUAAAGCUCUAUCAGCAGGGAAGAAAAUGACGGUACCUGACUAAGAAGCCCCGGCUAACUACGUGCCAGCAGCCGCGGUAAUACGUCGGGGGCAAGCGUUAUCCGGAUUUACUGGGUGGAAAGGGAGCGUAGACGGUCCUGCAAGCCAGAUGUGAAAGCCCGGGGAUCAACCCCGGGACUGCAUUUGGAACUGUAAGGCUAGAGUGUCGGAGAGGCAGGCGGAAUGCCUAGUGUAGCGGUGAAAUGAGUAGAUAUUAGGAGGAACACCAGUGGCGAAGGCGGCCUGCUGGACGAUGACUGACGUUGAGGCUCGAAAGCGUGGGGAGCAAACAGGAUUAGAUACCCCUGUAGUC
rnacentral:rRNA from 1 species